rnacentral:rRNA from 1 species
GAGUGAACGCGUGGCGGCGUGCUUAACACAUGCAAGUCGAACGGAGUUACGUUUGACGAGAUCCCUUCGGGGUGACGUUGAUUUAACUUAGUGGCGGACGGGUGAGUAACGCGUGAGCAACCUGCCUCAAAGAGGGGGACAACAGCUGGAAACGGCUGCUAAUACCGCAUAACGUAUUGUUUUCGCAUGAUUACAAUACCAAAGGAGCAAUCCGCUUUGAGAUGGGCUCGCGUCUGAUUAGCUAGUUGGUGGGGUAACGGCUCACCAAGGCGACGAUCAGUAGCCGGACUGAGAGGUUGAACGGCCACAUUGGGACUGAGAUACGGCCCAG